ACGUCUACCGCGCGCGAUCGGUUUACCCGCUUUCCAUUCUCUUAACACACGUGCCUCGCAACAGCCCUCCUCCCCACAUACCUCCACCUUCUCUUUCCCACAAAAUCAUGCCUGUGCCGUUUCAACAGCUGAUGUGUGAGGUGCGCGCGACCGCAGACGAGACGAUCAAGUGGCGCCGCUACAUUCACCAGUACCCGGAGCUGUCGUUCAAGGAGUUCAGGACGGCGGCGUUUGUUGCGGAAACGCUGCGGAGCUUCGGCUGCCCCGCGCUGGCCGUCACACACCCGGUGCCGACGGCUGUUGUGGCGAACCUCACUGGCGGCGCUGGUGACGGGCCGAUAGUGGCGCUGCGCGCCGACAUGGACGCGCUGCCGGGGGACGAGGAGACGGAUUUGCCUUUCAAGUCGCAGAACAUGGGUGCGAUGCACGCGUGCGGGCACGACGCGCACACUGCGAUGCUGCUUAGCGCUGCAAAGGUGAUCUGCGCGCAUCAGGCGGACAUUAAGGGUAGCGUGCGGUUCAUUUUCCAGCACGCGGAGGAGCUGCUGCCCGGCGGCGCGAAGGACCUUGUUGCUGCCGGCGUGAUGGAGGGCGUGAAGAGCAUCUUCGGCAUGCAUUGCUCACCGCGGUACGAGGCGGGCACUGUUGGUCUGAUGCCCGGCAUCAACACAAGCUACACGGAUUUCUUCAAACUGAUAAUCCGCGGUCGUGGCGGCCACGCGUCGACCCCGCAGCUGCUUGUGGACCCCGUACCGAUUACCGCCGAGAUCGUGAUGGCAAUCCAGACGAUUACUGCGCGCAAGAUCGACCCGAGGGUUGUGCCCGUUGUUUCGAUUACAACGAUGACGACGGGACCGAAUGAGAGUCACAACGUGAUCCCCAACGAGGUGAAGCUGAUGGGGACUGUGCGGUCGCGGGACAAGGCUGUGCGUGAGCAGGUGCCGCGCGACAUCGAGCGCAUUGCGUCGAACAUUGCUGCUGCACACGGCGCCGCUGCAACGUUGGACUUCACGUUCGGGUACGACUGCUGCGACAACGACCCUGAGGUAACUGCGCAGGUGCGAUGCAUCGGCGAGCGUAUUCUUGGUUCUGCCAACAUCAUCGAUCCCAAGGUGCCGCUAUAUGGUGGUGAGGACUUUUCUGCGUACCAGCUGGAGAAGCCCGGCUGCUUCCUGUGGCUGGGUACGGCCAACAAGUCGCAGGGUAUCUGCGAGAUGUGCCACUCGACGAAGUUUCGUGUCGAUGAGACCGCGCUCCCGAUUGGUGUCAGCUUCCACGUGGGCUACGUGUACGACAACGUCAUGGCGUAAAGGUGCUGUUGUUGGCGUGGUGAGCUUCCCGUGAUGCAGAGGGAGCUCCCGCGCGUGGGAGCUGUACCACGGGUAGCUUACAUCGCGCCUCCACAAAGGCGCGGGUGCAAACGGCACGCGCGGCUUCUAGUCGUAUUUCCUUUGAUGGGCUGCGCGGUCGUGCGCGCGUAUGCCGGCGCACGCACGUUGGAGAGCUUUGCUCUCCAUCAGUGCGCACAUCGGAAGGAAAACGGAGGGGGUAGGGGGCGGCGGUGUAUUGGUGGAUGCUCAGCCGUUCCUCGAUCGCGUUCGUGUGUGCCCCGGCUUCACAUCUUUCUGAAUCGUCUGGGGCCGUGUCAGACAGGCCUGCUCUCUGCGUUUGUGUCGCGCGAAGAGCAGUGUGUGAGGGGUGCCUUGGCGCGUGCAGUUUUCUUCUUUAUUGGGAGUCGAUUCGACAUGGCAGCGCAGUGCACACGCAGACGUGUUUUUCCCGCUCAUGAGGGAUUGCGACCGGAGCGGGAUGGCCCGCUGCGCUUACCGGGGGCGGUGAACUGACUCCUCCUCGGCACGUCGUAACUGUUUGCGUCCUGCUCAGAAGCCACUUGAUGUAUCGUUUUAUUCUUCCAGUCCCUGCCUCUGUGCCUGCUUGGAAGCGGUAGGGCGAGUACCGAUUCCCACAUGUGGGAAGCAUAAACCCUUUUCUUGCUACUCUAUUUAUCGCGCCCUGAUGACGGGGGGGGCGCACACCUCAGCGCGUCGUAUCCUCAGGGCCCCGCACACCGACUCCGCCGGGAAGCCAGGCAGCCUCCCAGCCCCUACCCAUUGCCCAUGCCGAGCUACUUCCGGCGGUGACACGGUCACGCGCCCACGAAGUGGGGUGGGGGUGGAGGUGAGAGCGAUGUGCUGCUGCUGAUGUCUGCGGUGGGAGACUGGAUGGCGCUGCGUCGGAGCGGGCUGCGGCAGCGAGCACGUCUGCGCCGCCCACAUGAUGGACGAGGUGUGAGCGUGGCUGGAGGAUAUCCCACCCGGCCCUGGCACUGCCUCCUGGUGUGGGGAGCCUGCGCCACGGCGAGGGGGAUGCGCCAGGAGGGGUGGCGGCCGGCGGAGCGGGUGGUUUGCAGAGCUGGAGGCAGCGGCCGUGCUUGUGUGCCUGGGUGGGCGCAGCGCUGUGACGCGUGUGCCCACCGCUGCCUCGUCCCGCGCAAUGUGGGCUCUGACGUGGAACGGUGUGUGCAAGUGUAUGUGGCGUUGAGCUCAUGUUCCACAGCACAGUGAGCCUACUGAAUAUGAAAAACAAAUGUAUCCCUCGCGUGCUCUCCCUGGGCGUGCGCGGACGCGGCUGCAGAAGGUGCCGUUGCUGAGUGUUCGUGUUUUGGUGAUGUCACGCUAUGAUCUGUCUCUGUCUCUCUCUCUAUAUAUACAACUAUAUAUAUGUGUGUGUCGUCUUAUUUUGCCCUGCGAAGGUGCGGGCUGUGUAACGCCUAGUUUAUGCUUUCUCUUCCGACCACCCUAUUCGUGUUUAUCUUCGUAUCGACGAGGCUUUUGUUUACCUGUAGCCCUCUCUCUCUCUUGUGUGCAUGUGUCUCAAGACAUCUCCUCGCCACCCCACGUCCCACCGCGUCCGGUAUCUUGAGCUUGCUCUCUUUUUUUUUUUGCUCUUUACUGUUGUUCUCUCGGCCGCGCGGCACCCUCUGAGGUCAAGUAGGAAGUCGCGGAAGAAGAGACACAUGCUCUGCACGAUCCUUCUUUGCGUUGUGUUCUCUGCCCUUCCCCUUUCUCUCUCCUUUUUGUUUUCUGUAUGGCUGGUUUUCGUUGCAGGCUGGUGUGGUGCUGGUGGGCGGGUGCUUGGGUGGGAGGAUGUGCGCAUGUAUGUGUCCGUGUAAAGCUGUUAUACAUACUUUCGUGCACACGCGUACGUGCACACAUAGAAUACGGAAAACUACUCACCGUAUGCCUAGCGACAACAAAAAGGGAGGAACAUACACACAAACACGCACAAGCAAUCAAUAUUGGUGCACUACUGCGCUGAGAGGGUCGGGGAGGCGUUAAAGGGAGCUCAUACACUCACACGCUGGCCCCGCCUCCUCUCGUGCCGUUAUAUCGUUCAAUGAUUGGCAGCACAGCAAUCAAUCAAGCCACGUGGGAAGGGCCAUGAGAUACUAGUCAGCAUGGGACACUUUAUUUUCCUUUCGCGAGCGUGUGCUCUCUUUUUCUCUACCAAGAGGCUGUCUCUGUGCUUUUUCUGCAGUCUUCCUCCCUCCUAUUUCUUGCGUGUUUGGCUCGUGUCUCUGC
rnacentral:misc_RNA from 1 species